GAUAGUUUUCCCCAGUCAUGAGAGGCAAAAUGGAGUUUCAUCAAUGACUAACGUCUGUGCCAAAACAAGAUGGUUAUUUGGAGCGCAUUGGUUCUGUUCAGAAAGCAGAUGGGCUACCAGCAACAGGAGGCAGUAGGCUUUUCCACCAGAAAAAGGGCAUUUCAGGGAAUUGCUCUGGCUCCCAAACUGUAGGAAUUGUUGACCUACUGACUCAGUUAUGAAGAAUUGGGAAAACAGCCUUAUUGUGGUUUCCUUUGUUGAUGGCAGAUUCAGAAGACAUAUUUGAUCAUGUGCAUGUGGCUAGCAGAAGAGAGGUGGCUUUAGUUCAUGUUGCAUUCUGGAUUUGUUUUGUGCCUGCAAGGAGCUGAAUUCCUGAUCGCUGGAGAAGAUCUAACCAUAUUUGCACUGGUUCUGCUCAUGACAGUACAGUGGGGCAGGUAACUGCCAAGAAGGAACUGGGAGGCUCUGACUUUUCCAAGGCUCAGGAUUAUGCAAUGAAGAAAAAUAUUUUAGAAGCUAUAGAGAGAGGUCACAACACCCUGGUCAGAAGGAUUACAGAUUUGAUGGACCGUUGAUGUGAGAAGAAUUUAAGAAUUGCCAUAGUGGGUCAGACCAAAGGUCCAUCUAGCCCAGUAUCCUGUCUUCCAACAGUGGUCAAUGCCAGGUGCUUCAGAGGGAAUGAGCAGAACAGGUCCAACCUUGUGAGAAUAUCCUGAGUGUGCCAAAAGGAGAGCAUAUGGCACGGGGGGAAAACCUGUCUACAAAUUGCUAUGAACUGAAAGGUAAAUAGUUUGUUAUUCUUAAGAAUCAGAAGAGCAUAGCCUCUGUAUGGAUUUUGUUUCCAAAUAGAAAGUCUGAAUAUGUCUGGUGUACCUUGUGUUUGACACUGUGCUGCAUAGUGAGAGGGGAAGCAUAUGACUUUUAAAAAUUGGGCUUGUGCCCUUUCUUUGCAAUUGAAAGGGUUUGGGGUUUUUUUUUUUAAAGGCAUUUUUCUGAUUUUUUUUCUUUGCCUACCUUUUGAGUUAUCACACCUCAUAGAAGGGACGGGAGUGUUGGAAUCUUUUAAUGAAGAGAUCCUUUCUCCAAAGUGUUUGACAGCCAUUGGACUUAAAUAGAUGUUAAUAAAAACAAAUAUAUUGAAACAUCUCAAUAAAAUCUCUCCUGCUCUCUUGUUUAACAUCACAACAGACUGAAAGGUAUCAUUUUACUAGCUCUACAAUCAUAGAGUCUGCCGAAGUAGUCAUGUCCUGAAUUUCUAAUAAUAAAAAAUUAAGAAAAAAUAUGAACUUUUUUUCUUAGGGGAAAAAAAACCUUGCAGGCCUUCCUUAUCCACCAUAAAAGCCUCACAAAAACAGUGCACAAGGGCAUUUUUUCCUUUGCGGGUCUACUUUAACUAUCUCUGGCAGAAAAAUUAGGAUGGCUAUUUAUUUAGCAGUGUUAGUGAACCUAGCCCGAUAGGUAAUGGAGAGGUGCCAGACAAUCAAGAGUCCCUGCUUUGAGUUUACAGAGUAAAGGAGGCACUAGUGGAUGCAAAACAGUCCACUGCCCAGUGAGUGCGGUUCUUGAGUGUUUCAUGACAUGGCUAUCUGGUUUAGCACUGGAGACCCACCAAACUUUACAUAUCAAUAGCAUUUUGUUUAAGGAAGUUUUUUAAAAUAAAGAGGAAUCAAAUUUUGAAAUGGCCAUUGGUUUGUGCCCAGUCCCAAACAGGAGACCGCAGAAUAUUUAUGGGAGGUGUCAGUGAGAAUUUUAUUGGUGCAGUAAUUAAGAGAUGUGUAAGGUACAAAUGAAGUAACAAAUUAGCUUUUUAUCUCUGUAUUGAGCACUGUUGUGAAGAAUUGUUUUACUCUUGAGCCUUAAGAAGCAUUAGAAAGGAACUGCCACUGUUUUUUCAGGGAAUCUUACAGAAUCUCCAGUACCCCGCAUUUGCCACUCCCACUCUAACAACACUUGUCUUAGUGACCCUCUGUCCAGCCAAGCAGUGCUAAUUACAGGGCCGUCCAGAAACCAUCAGCACGGCUCCUUCAGCUUACCAGAGAGUGCAUUUGAGAGCAAAGUGGUCUGAUACUGUGACAAUAUGUGUGGUAUGAGAACCUAGACAGAUAGUGAUACAAGGUAAGGGGACCAGGAAGCCCAUGGCACCUUUACUGCUCCAGUACCCCUUCCUGGUUCUUGCAGUGACUUGUUGUAUGGCCUUGUUAUACUACUUCACCAUUCUCUGUCUCAUUUUUCCCCAAUUAUAAAACAAAAAGAAUAAUACUUAGUUCACAAGAGUGUUGCAGAGCUUAAUGCUUCUACGGAGUUAUGGAAGUAGGAAAUGUUAUUUCUUGCAAUAAUACUUGUGGUUGUAAUGUUUGAAUUUGGAUCUCAGUGCAAACCAUCUUUUUUUCCCCUUCAGAAUGUAUAUGGGUUUUCAGUAACACAUAAUCCAUUUGUUAAGGACUCUGUUUUGAAGACAGCUAAAUCAAUGUUUUACUACCUAGAACCUGCUGUAAUAAAUAUGCCUCUUUUUUUUUUUUUUAGGGUCUCUACUUUCCUCAUUAGGCUUCAGAAAACAUGACCCAGAGUAAAUCCAAGUCAGCUUGUCUCUCAAGAGGACUCUUGUUAGUGCCCAGUGAUACCCUCUGCUUACACAGAGAUACUUCUACCAGGUUAUAUGGGGAUGGGAGCCAAUGUACAGGCAAGGGUCAGCUGCACCAGUGACCCAUGCCUCAGAUAAGUCCUCUGAGAUCCGUGGGUUGUGUGCCAAACCAGCUACUUCGUUCACAAUUGGAUGUGCAGACUCCACAUAUCCCCAGUUGAAAGAGCAAUGGCAAACUCUCCGACUUUCCAGUCACCAGUGUGAAUUAUUCAUGGGUUGGGGACCAGGGGGUCCAAAGAGGAGCAGUAAACAUGGUCUAAAAUCCUGUAUCUCCACUUCACACCCAAAUAAACGCUCCCCGGUUUAUAUUCAAAACACAGAGGUAACAGCUAAAAUCGUUACAUUCUGUAUCUGACCACUGGGGGAAAAGAGGAUUAUGAAGCUGCAUUUCAGCUCACACCACAAAUGACAAUAAAAGUUCAAUCAGCUUUA